rnacentral:rRNA from 1 species
AACGAACGCUGGCGGCAUGCCUAACACAUGCAAGUCGAACGAGACCUUCGGGUCUAGUGGCGCACGGGUGCGUAACGCGUGGGAACCUGCCCUUAGGUUCGGAAUAACUCCCCGAAAGGGGUCCUAAUACCGGAUAAUGUCUUCUGACCAAAGAUUUAUCGCCGUUGGAUGGGCCCGCGUUGGAUUCGCUAGUUGGUAGGGUAAAAGCUUACCAAGGCGAUGAUCCAUAGCUGGUCUGAGAGGAUGAUCAGCCACACUGGGACUAAGACGCGGCCCAGACUCCUACGGAAGGCAGGAGAGGGGAAUAUUGGAAAAUGGGCGAAAGCCUGAUCCAGCAAUGCCGCGAGAGUGAUGAAGGCCUUAGGGUUGUAAAGCUCUUUUACCCGGGAUGAUAAUGACGGUACCGGGAGAAUAAGCACCGGCUAACUCCGUG